rnacentral:SRP_RNA from 1 species
UUUCGGACUCCGCACAACGCCAGCCGCCGCGAACCCCGCCAGAUCGGGAACGAAGCAACGGUAGCGAGCGGCGCGUGUGUUGCGGGUCAGUCCGAAGCCU